AGCAGCCGCGGUAAUUCCAGCUCCAAUAGCGUAUAUUAAAGUUGUUGCAGUUAAAAAGCUCGUAGUUGAAUUUCGGGAUUGGCGCAUCGGUCGUGCCUCACGGGGUAUGAACUGGUGCAGUCAAUUUCUCACCUUCUGGAGAACCGCGAUGUCCUUAAUUGGAUGCCGCGGGGAACCAGGACCUUUACUUUGAAAAAAUUAGAGUGUUUAAAGCAGGCAUUUUUGCUUGAAUACAUUAGCAUGGAAUAAUAAAAUAGGACGGCAUGGUUCUAUUUUGUUGGUUUCUAGGACCACCGUAAUGAUUAAUAGGGAUAGUUGGGGGCAUUAGUAUUCAAUUGUCAGAGGUGAAAUUCUUGGAUUUAUUGAAGACUAACUACUGCGAAAGCAUUUGCCAAGGAUGUUUUCAUUAAUCAAGAACGAAAGUUAGGGGAUCGAAGACGAUCAGAUACCGUCGUAGUCUUAACCAUAAACUAUGCCGACUAGGGAUCGGAUGAUGUUAAUUUUUUAAUGACUCAUUCGGCGCCUUACGGGAAACCAAAGUGUUU
rnacentral:rRNA from 1 species